GGCGGGCACGGCCCCGCCGAGGGCGAGCGGGCGGCCGCCACGAGGCCCCCGGACGGAGCCCCGAGGGCGGCACCGGCGGGGAUGUGAGGGGAGGUGAGAGGGGGGAGCUCCUCGUGAAGUGGGUGUGUGGCCUGGGGCGGGGGGACACCCUGGUGGGGGGCUGAGAGGGUGCGGAGGCUCCCGGCCGCCCCCCCCCCGUCCGUGAGUGACCGGGGAACCGGGAAUGGGGGGGGCGAUCCCGGUGCCAGGUGCCCGAGGGACACCGGGGGGGACUCGCGGUGCCCCUCCCGGUAACGCCCCGGAGCACCCCGGUGUGUCCCCGGUCCCCGGCAGUGUUUGCGUGGUCCCCCUGGGCCCCCCGGUAGGUGACCGGGGAGGGGUCGUGAUCCUCCGCCAAGUGCCCGAGGGGCACCGGGCGGUGUCGGUGCUGCCCUCCCCGCCCCGGUGAUUGCUGCGGGGACCCGCGGUGUGCCGCCACCCCGGUGGGCGAGCGGGGACCCUCGUGUGCCGCCACCCCGGUGGGCGAGCGGGGACCCCGGUGUGCCCCCCGGUGGGCGAGCGCGGACCCCGGUGUGCCCCCGGGUGGGUGACUCGGGCCCCGCGGUCUCGGUGCGGGGGUGGGCGCUCGGUGCCCCCCCGGGAGGUGACGAGGAGCUGCCGUCAGUCCCCGUAAGUGUCUGGGGAGGGGGGCGAAGGGACGUCGGUGCUCCCCCCGUUUCCCCGGUGAACGUGACGUGGGUUUCCAAAGCCGGGGGGGCGGCGGGUCCAGCCCCGGUGCUGCCAUCCCGGACCGGGGGUUCCCUCCGUCGCUGUCCCCUCCCCGGGACACCCGGUUGUUCAUCCCCCGCCGGCUCGGUGCUCCCCUCCCGGGAGUCGGGGGGGGAGGCACGUUCAGACUGUAUUUUGAAAUUUCCAGAUUGUCUUUUCCGUGCCGUUUCCUUGAAAUGCAUCCAGAGAGCUUAUUAGUAAUGUAAAUAGAGAAUAAUGGCAAAGCUCGGCAGCUGGUGUUGGGAUGGACCGGAGGGGGGUUCAAAACUGUCAUUUUUUAGUGUAAUUUUAUUUUUAUUUUAUUUUUUCUUUCCGCCUCUGAUCCUGCGACGAGCAUUUCUGUCUCCUCACCUUGCUGGGGGAAGCUGGGAGCCUAAACCCGUUUGUCAUUAGGAGCGUCCUGCCUGCCAGCUUCUGUAGGAUAAACCAUAUGUUGUCACAACACUAUUUUUAAUUUAGGGUGUUGGUUACAUCACAUCACUGAAUUGGGCAAUCUCUGUGUAAGGACGAAGUCCGUCAAAAUUGAGGCUCUUACGACAUCGGGAACAUGAGUCGGUGACAUGACUGAAUGAAUCAGAGGAGGCUGGAGAGGAAGCUCAUCGCACACGUACGGCUCAUCAGCAGAAAUGGGACAGGAUCUGCAGAACACCCUGAACUGCUCAGCUCCUGCUCACUGUUCUUCACGCUGACCUGAAUGUGGCACCUCCCUUUGGAAGGAAGGGGACAAAGAGACACUGAACAUUGUGCACGGGGAAUGUUUUGGCCCGUGGCAGUUUCCUUUCAAUUAUUUAGGGAAGCUUUUUCUCUCAACCAUAUAGCAUUUGGAUCUGCUCAAAUUAUAGAUUCAUCUCUAUAGUUUUUGAAGGCAUUGGAAGGAAUUGUCUGUAAUUUACAUCUAAAGUGACAUACAGUUGCUAUGGGAUUUGGUGGCACAUUAUAAACCCAUUAUGCUUUUUUUUAUAUUGGUGGUAGCAGACUAAAGAACUAGGUCUAAUUGGUGAUGUGCCAAGAGAAAAUAGAAAGUUUGUGACAGAAUCCUUGUGACUGAUGGGCUGGGCUUUCUAUUUUUUUUUUUUUUAAUUUUUAAAAUCAAAUAUCUGCUUUUUAUCAGAAAAACAUACCGUACCGUUAAUUGGAGAGGUUGAAUUUGAAUUAAUACUUGUUGUUCUCUGUCAAUACAGGGGAAGCUAGAAGAUUAACCCUUUAUGUUAUUUACAUGGGGCUAGGUUGUUCUUUUUUUUAAUUCAAGUAGGAUAUUUCGCCAGUUGUAUCAAUGGCAGCUGCAUGUGGUGAUUGUGUGAAUUACCCAGAAAAAUGAAACCCUUUCUCUUUCUCAGCAUAUUCUGAUUUCUUACUCCACUUAAACAGCAGAAAGGAAGACAUCUCUUCGGAACAAUGUGUCUCCCAAGGAGCCUGGGGUGGCUGCUGCUGGUCAGAAUGCUCCUCGGACAUCAGGGCUGUUCUGAGCCCGUGUGAAGUGCUCUGUCCUGCUCAGUUGGUUUUUGUCCUGGUGCAGCUUGGCACAGGGCUGGUGGCUGUUGAAACAGUUCCCUUACGCCGUGCGGGCCCUGCUGGGACAGCAGCAGCACCUUUAUCGCUGCCCAGGGAGGGGAGGGUGUGUUGGAGGGAGCAUUUGAGGUCUCCUUGGUAAAUGGAGGUGUUAUCUCCCAAACUAUUUGCACGUUUCAGACCAUUUAAACUCUGCCUGUAACUUGUAAGCAGAAACUUGUGAAGCGUCUCCAAAUCCCUGGUGUUUGUGCAUGUUGAAAAAUGGGAAGGGACAGACUGCAUGCGUCACUCCCGUACUAAUUUGUGCCAGCUAAUCCAUGGGAGAAGAAUACAUUUUGGCUGACUUAGUGGUUUUGCUGCUAAUGCACAGGAGAAUGCUUUUGAAUGGAUGGAGUGGCUGCACGGCUUUAGGUAGACUUUGAAGGGAUACCCCAUGUCUGGGAUCCUGUGCUGGAUACCCUCAUUUGGGAUCACAGUCGUGUCAUAUCCCGGAUUUGUUUGGAUUUUGGGGAAGGAGAAGUGGGAGGGAGGGGAAAGCGGUCGUCACUCAUUCAGCGUCAUAACAUCAGGAAGGUUGGGAUCGAGUUACCUCUGAAUAAUUAAGGUUAAUGCUGUUUCUGGAGGAGCCAUUAUCUGCAGUGAACUUAAUGCUCAUGAAAAGACAUGCUGAUAACCUGAACUAUGCUGAUAUUUCCAGGGUGGGUGCAGAGGAGGCAUCACCAAAACUGGGCUUUGGUGUUCAAUGUGCCUUAGCUUGACCUAGAUGAAUUAUCCAGGAAAGGAGCUUGGAUUUGGUGAUAAGAGUUUUUGUAGUAGCUCAUGUGUUACUUAGAAACAUCCCAUGUACCUAAGGCAACUUUUGCACACCCUGGUAAUCUGGUAUUGCCUUCUGACUGGAGAUUUUGGUGGGUUUUGGGUUUUUUUCCAAGCACUUAUCUAUUAAAGAGAGUGCUAAACCCCUCAGCAGUCCGUUUGCUGAGUGGUGUGUGUAUCCCUGCUGCCCUGGGAGAGCAGACUUCCCAAAAUCCAAUCCUUUUUGCAUUACAGUCUAGAAAAAACACAGCUCCGUGCACUUGGUCUCUCCUUUCUUUACAUUGGACUAGUGCCUUUUUCUAAUUUAAAGAAACCAGCAUUUGUUUAACUCAAAAAGAGGUCAGCACUGGUGAGCAGUGCUUGACUGAGCUGCCCACCUCCACCCUCCUGGAGUCUUCCCUGGUCUGGUGCAGUCUGAUCGUGGUUAACCCUCUGUGCAGGCUUUUAUGCAGGAGAGAACACUUAAGUGCAAAUUUUUGUGGAAAGCUGAGGCAUUUUUCCUUUUGGGCUCCAUUCUGUGCCGUUGGGCUCAGUGGUAGGUGCAGACUUUGUCCUUGAGGUUCGUGUCCACGUGUGAUGCAGUUCAGCAGGUACCACAAAACUUCCUGAGAACAGCCAAUUGCCUCAAUCCUUGUCGCAUUUAGAUUUCAUCAGCACAAACAUCCUCCUGGCUGCUUGGCUCUGUAUUUUGAGCAUGUAUUGGUUCAGCCAUGCUUUGAUAAGGGUAGCCAUGUGGCAGCUGGGGCAGGUUCCUAUGGGAUCAGUGAUGGGGAGACAGGAGCAGGUCUGGAGGAACCGGGGCUGCCCCAGCCCUGGAAGUGUCCAAGGCCAGCCUGGAGCAACCUGGGCUAGUGGAAGGUGUCCCUGCUUGUAGCAUGGGGUGGAAUAAACUGGUUUUAGUGAUUUUUUUUUUUCCUAAUCCAAACCAUUCUGUGAUUCUGUAUGAUGGUUUAAGCUGAUUGUUGUUAUUUAGCAAGAGCAGUUGUGUGUUACUUAAAAUCCUAACAAAAAUCCCAGCAGGACGGAAGAAACUCCGUCUCAAUCCAUAUCACUGUGCCCACAGGAUCCAUAUUUUCUACAACUGAAGUGGAAGAACUAAUUUAAUCUUCCUUCUAUAUUCCUCCCCACUGAGGCCCAUUCUGCGAUGGGCUGCAAUCAGUGUGUUGUGUGCCAGUUGUGGUUAUUUGAAUCAUAUUUCCACAUUUCAGUGUCUAGACUUUAUGUUUGUGUGAGUUUUGUUGUACCUUUCCAGCUCCGGAGCUGAUUUCAGUUGGUUUUGGCUCCUGGUUUCUAUGAGAAAAUCAAACGGGCUGUGUCUCUGCCUUUCCCAGUCCCCAAAAAAGAAGGCAACAAGGGAAUGGGCAGAACUUGGUUUUAUAAGCUCCUUUGCCACCGUUUUUCUGUCUUUUGAGAAAAUCUGUGUGUGGAUGAGCAGGGUUCUGCCAUUUGGUGACCAGCAGGUGAGAGCAAGGACAAACCCCUGAUGGCUGCAGAUAAAUCUCUGCCUGCUUCUUGCACUGAGAGAAAUCUGCUGUGAAAAAAGGGAUGAUCUUGAUACAGGCCAGCAAGGCUGGGAAAAAAGUAACUGUGCACACAUUUUUAGUAAAAAACAACUUUACAAUCCACAGAAGGAGAGCAUUUAUUGACAAUUAAGCAGCUUUUUAAUUGCCUGCGUGCACGGGGCUUUGUUUUUUGCCAGCACAUGUGGAUAUUGAGGAUGAUGGAUGUGGCUGUGUUUGUUCAGUGAAUUGGAGGGUUGUCUGUUUGUGAUGCUCAGAGAAAUUGAUAAUGACACCAAACCUGGAUAACAUGGACCUCCCUGUGACCAGGAGGUAGAACUGGCUUCAGAAUUGUUCACAGUAAUACCUGACUUGUGCAGAAAACAGUGUGGAACCCUGAGCCAAGGCUGUUUUCUGUGCUCCUGGUAUAUAAUAAAGUGUAUUAUGGCUAAAUCAGUGAAAGGAAAUAAUGUUCCCAACUCCUUGUUAACCUGUAAAGCUUGCUGCUAUCAAAUGUGAAAGGCUUGAGUGCAGCUGAAUAGCAGGAAAAAUCAGAAUUUUUCAGAGGGGAUGCAGAGAACAAAAGCUGUGCUUCCAGCUUCUCUCGCACCCCUGCCUGCAUGUCGGGCUCCCUCUGCUCCCCCGGUGUUCGAGGUGACCAGGGUGCUGCCAAAGCCGUGGCUUCCCCUCUUCCAGGGAGCUGAGCAGUGUAAAUUCUUCCAUUCCUUCCCCAUCCAGGUUCAGUGGAUGCUUUUGGGAGCCCGGCAUGGGCGGAGUAGCGAGGAAGCAAAUUUUCCAGCCUGCCUGAGCUUGGGCAAGCAGAAAUGGUGCCUUGGAAGCCAUAUAAGGCCAGGGAGCCGGCUCUGGCUGGGCUCACCUUGCCAUGGGAUGCUGGGGAAGGGAGCAGCCCUCGCUCCCAGGGAGAGGUUCAGGCCUUUGAAGUGCUCCCUGUGCGUCUGCCACUUGCCAGAGGGACGGUGUGGCCGCCCUGAUUAGGUGACAGCAGCUUAUUAACUCCCUGACUUUUGUGGGGCUCCAGCAGCCGGCCCCAAAGAGGCGGAAAUUUGUGAUUCAGAGUGAAACUGCUGUAAAAUGACGGAGCUGGGAAGGUCGGAGCCUCUGUCACAGGGUGUCUUCAUUUCCUUCAGCAGCGUCUGAGGCAGAUCCUGCUGACUGCAGACAGUGCUGAGCAGGACUUGCUCUGAAAGGAGAGUUCCUGUGGCAUUAAAAUAGAUUUUUGAAAAGCCUGGCAGCACCUGUUCCCCCUCCCAGGGAUGUUCAGCCCUCAGAGCUGCUGGAGCCCCCAUCGUGACCUCUGUUUCUGCUUCUCGCAGAAUUAAGAACAACUUCUGCUCCCAUAAAUAGUCCCUUAAGAAGUGCGUAGGAGCUCUGUGACCAAUUUCUUUUGAAAAGUGCUUUCAGUGACACCUGUGGCUGUGACCUUGCUCGCUGGUCCCACCCCGUGUCCUUGCAGGGCAGCUGUGUUUUGAUGGGAGCCUGGUGGUCCUGGCCACAAGCUCUGCUUCCUUCUCUCGUUUAAUCAGCACUAAAAAGAACCUUGGGUUAUCUGUGUGUUCUGUGGGAAGCUGCUGCUGCUUUUCCUGCUGCAAAUCCCAAAUGCUUCCUGCCUCGUUGAGGUCUUCAUUCCCUAAUGCCACUGAGGUGGCUAAGCAUCUGAAGGCUCCCGUGUUCCUGCCACAUGUCACAGCUCCCAAUGCUUGUUUUUAUUCCAGAAAUAAAGUGUGGUUUUCCAGAGGACAGCGAUGCAGCCGAGCGAGUGCAUUGUCACAAACCAGUUCUCCCAGCCUGGAGUCGUGGAGAGUCCCAGAACACCCAGCUCCGCUCAGGAAGCGGCUUGGUGUUUAAUCUUUGCCAGUGUGGAAAUGGGAAGAGGGAGCAGUAAUGGAUAAAGUAAAACAUAUUUAACCUUUAGGGACGUAAAUGGGAUAUCUUGGAUCUGUUUGGAGCAGGCGCUGGGGUUGAUGUGGAACGUGGUGGUGAUUAAAACCAACAGCAAACAUUUUUCUGCUCAUGAAUUACGGACUUUGUUCUUAAUGCAUUAAAAUCCAGAGCACUUUGGGGUUUCUUAACGUGAAGGGGGAGAAGAAAUAGAUUUAUUACCUGGAAGGUUUGAUGUUAUAGUUCCAGGCAUGUUUCCACAACCUUCCUGCAAUCAUUUGGAGCUGUACCUAAUGUGGGUGCUGCUUGCGUUGGGCUGUAAGUUUGAGCUCUCUCAUACAAUUAAAGCCAUUUAACUGCAUCUAAAGACCUUUUACUUGUCAUUAAGACUAAAUUUACUGAGCUGACAGCAGGAAGAAACACAUUUACCCUAACUCAGAUGGGCUAAGAGAGCAAAACGUUCCAGCUAACUAUGACUUGCCUGGAUUGUUAAAUUUAGACCAAAAAUUCUGGUCAGACAAUUAAGUGCCGGCUCAGUGACCACACCACUUCUUUUGCAUGUGUGAAUUGGCUGAGCUGCCUCUGUCAGGCAAGAGAGAUUCUCUGUCUCAAUGUCUCAAUUCUCUGAGGGUUUUUGGGCUCAGACCUGGGGAGUCUUUUCGUGGCACUGUGGUUGCUCCCUGUUUGGUCAGCAGCCCUGGUAUGUUUUUCCUCUUCUUAUCUGAAAAUUUUUCAUGUUUAUUUUUGGAAUUCGUUGUAACCUGAACUUUCUCAGGUGUCCUUGCGGAGAGGGAAGAAACAUCUGACUUAUUUUUUAGGUAGAUUUUUGCCAGUUGAGAAGAGUGUGUUCUUUCUUUUACUGUUUGUCGCUUUAUUUUUGGAGCAGGUUUGUUACUGACCAGCUUGGCAGUGCAAAUACAGAGGUAGCUGAAACAGUGCAGGUUCUGUGCUUCUUGCUGAAGUGAAGGCAGCACCUAAUUUAACUUCUUCAGGCAGCUGCCUUCACUUUUCUCCUGGAGAAAGCAUCCCUGGAAGCAGGAGGAGGCUGUUAGCAGAGGGUAUGUAAUACAAGAUUCUAUCAUGGCAGGAAAUCUAGAGAGGUUCUCUUGCUCAGUAUGUGCAGCUGGAUUUUUCUUGGGCAGCUUCCCUCAGUGAUAGGAAAAAAACCUGGAAUAUUUGAGUGCUUUAUUGCUUUCUCCCCUGUGGAGAUGGUGGGAAGUUUGGGUGACACCCCUGCUGAAUUCCGAGCGUCAGUCAGGUUGUGUUCCCACUGUCCUGGGUGGCACUGGGGCACCUCUGUUUGUCUGGAGGCCAAAAGAACCCGAGUCUGAGCAUCUUGCUUUAGCUUUUGAGGUUGCUCUGGCUCGUGGGGUUUCUCUGGGAUUUCUUUGCGAUUCCUCCAGGAUCCAGGCUCUGACUUUGGUUUAUCGCAGCCUCUUCCAGCAGUGAGGAGCAUCUGAAGAUCAUCAGCAGAACUUUCUCAGGCUAGUAAUUACUCUUCCCUCCGCGUGUCAAUAGGGUAUAGCUGGGCACAAGGAAAACAGAACUGGUCCAGGCUUGUUUUCCUGGGCUCAGCAGCGUGAGGCGAGAUUUGUUCCGGGAUGGUUGAACGGGUUCGUCAAUCUGAUCUCUCAAUUGUCUUUCUAUAUUUUCUCUUGCAAGAAAAGGAGUAAAGCCCUGUGGAAGAUAAGGAUCUUUCUGAUGUUUCAGCAGCUCGUUUAAGCCACCUUAUGAGCACACAGUCAAGUGAAUCAGCCCUGGUGUCUUAAUAUGUCCUAAAAUAAAUUACACUUUCGUAAGCAAAUUUGGUGGGUUUGAACUGCUGUAUUUUCAUUAAAAGAUUGCAGUGGAGAAAAUGCUCUUUAAAAUUCAGCCUCGGGGUUGUGUUGUUCAUUAACUGAUAGUCACUCCUGUUUACCUUGUGUGAUAAGUCCCACGUUAAGAAUGGCCAGCAGUGCUGAUGCCGUCACAGUUGCCCUUCAGAGAGAAUUGCUCUUUUUUUUUAUGGCUGGCUUUACUAACAGGUGGGAGUUUUUUUGGAACUCAAAUAAAUGCAAACAGCCAGGACGUACCUCUCCUAAUCAUGGAAAACCGCUUGUUUGGUUUUUUUUUUUCUGUCCUCCUGUUCUUAGCAGCUUGGUAACGCUGCUGUCGGUACAAAGGUCAUUUAAAAAUCUGACAUGUCAGCCCAGCAACGUACUGCUCCUUAAUGAGGCUUAAAACCAGCGUGGAGCUGCCUGGUGGAAAUAAAUGUGGAGCUUCAGAAUAGAGGGAGACAUGUCCACAGCUUACUGGGAUGGGAUCACCUGGCUUUCCUUGCACCAGCCCCCCCUCCCCGGAUCUCUCCUGGGUACUUGCAGUUCUCUUGCAUAAAGGGGUUUAAUUUUUCCUCUUGUUAUUCAAAUGAGCCCAGGUGUUUGACAGCACAUUUGUGUUCUCAGAAGAAAACCAACGAAAAUACCUCCUGAAAUCCAGGCACGAUGUUUUAAAAAUGAUUCUUUCCUGUGGUUGAGGUUUUCUCUCCUCCUCAUCUUGGCCUCCUGCUGCCCCUUUGAGGAGGUCCUGCAGCACCUCUGACUUCAUCCCCACCUGGCUGGAGCCCUCCUGUCCCUCCUGCUCCCCAGGAUGUCACUUGCCACUGAACCCAAGCUCUUGAACCUCCCUGUUCCUGACGCUCCCUCAGUCCUUUGAAUGUCUGAAGGCUUUUCCUCUAAUCCUGUUCCCCAGCACUACUGGAAUUUCUGCACCUUCAGCCUCGCCUCACUCUUUUCGGCUCUUUGACUGUUCUCCAGUGAAAACUAGGUCAGAAACAACCGUCAGCUUCUGAUAUUUCACUACUCCUGUUUUAUAAGUUGUAACCCAGUGUUGCUGUGUUUAAUCGCUUGCUUUAAUUUUCACGUAUUAAGUGUCUCAGCUCGCUGUGCAUGAGCAGCCUGGCACAGUAAAACUGCUCCGAAUAACAUCUUGGCUGUAAAAGCCAUGUUACCUUGACUGGGGCUGAAAAGGUGAAUUACCUUUUUUUUGCUACAUAUAAUGCUGGAGUUGCCAAACUGACAGAUUUUUCCACCAGUUCUCUCUUAAGUGUACAUUUGGUGGCAAUUUUGGAACUUUACUUAGCCAGCUUCUCUUUAUGCAUGUGUGGCUUUUUAACGUGAUGGGUGAAAGAAAAACAGCUUGAAAACAAUAAUAAUUGGAAACUCUCAGGUUGAUGAAGAUCACAGUAAUGCAGGUAUAUUGGAAGGCAUUUAAGAGAUUUAUUUUUAACUGAGUUGCAGCUGACUGGACCCAUUCAGCGUUUUUAUAAAACUGUUCUUGGAGUGGUACUUGAAUUCUGAGCUGAGGUGCCUCAGUGUUCAGUGAAACCCACCUGGUGUAAUUCAAGAGUAUCCUUCUUCCUUUCUCUUAGGCAGACUUGGAGCCAGCCAGUGUUAGAAUACCUGGGCAUUCCAGCAUAAAUGGGAUUUAAAUGAAUCCUUACUUUUCAGUCUGACUUAAAGGUUGUGGUUUUAAAAUUGUGCCUGAGCUGUUGUCUCUGAAAAGUUUUUUCCAAGUUGUUUAUUAAGCUGUUCUUAAUACACUUUAAUUUUCUUCUUUCAUGUGUCUCCUGCUGCUCUGUGGUUGUUUUCAAGGAUCCCCAUGCAGGCAUGGGGGGAGUUGUUGGGGUGUCUGUGCGUGGCCAGGAGCUGGAGACUUUGAUAUUCCCUUUGAGGAAUCCCUUCCAACUCAGGGUGAUCAGUGAUUCCAUGAUUUUCCUGGGAUUUGAGGUUCUCUGGUUUGCAGGUACCAGUUUGACCCAGCUUUUGCUUUCCAUCUGGGAAACAUCACCUGUGUUUGAGAGGUGGGGGAGUUUGAACCAGGGCUGAAAUGCUUUAUUUAAGGAAAACUUCUGGAGGGGCCAGUGGAACAAAUCCCAGCCCUAAAUGUGGUUCUGUAGUCACUUCCCAUCACUUGUGUGGCCCUCAGCCUCAGAUGGAGGAGCUUGGGUGUCUUAAUCAGUUCUGGAAGCUUUAUUUAUCCAUGAUGGGGAUGAGGGGGAGUUAAGAUGUGCUAUCGUGACACACUUUUCUGUAUUAAUUUGGGAAACAUUUUCUUCUGGCAGUUGGGCGUUUUGUACAGUGCAGAAAGCAAAAUACUUGUAGUAGAUCCAUUUGAUACAGCUGGUCCUGGAGAAGCUUUUAAUUAUUUUACCCUCUGAGCCCCAGAACUGUAUUGCUGCAUUGCUUCAGAAAGGCUAAAAUCAGGGAAAAGUGCCAUCUCCAAGAGGAGUGCAGCGAGCCAAGUGAUUUCCAUGAUGGAAAUCUGUUUUUCUUGUAACUUCCACAAGGUUUUUGGGGUUGUUGCAGAGGUGGCCGCAUCUCCAGCACCUCAAAAUCAGCAAACUUCCCUCUUCUGCCAGAGGAAGCACAGAAGGCUUCAUGCAAGGUGUCUUGUUCGACAGGAAUGACUCUUAAAAUAUUAAUCUGAGAACAUCUAACCCCCCAGAAUUCUUGGCUCAUAACGAGUGACUCCUCCAGGGAAAACCAGCACUGCUGGUCACCUUUAGCAGAGUUGGGAAUUUUGGAUGAUUCAGUUUCCUUCUGCCAGUUUUGUUGUUGUGCUGUUGUUUUUUCUCCCCUCGGUCCUUUCCCAAUUUAACAGGAUCAUCUGAUAACUCCAAUAAAAUGCUGCUGCAAAAACAAGCAGUGUUGCAUGCAAGAGAUGAUUACCCAGGGGAUUUUGGGCAUGGAUGUUUAAUGGGAUUUUUGCCAGACUGAGGUCUCUGAAUGGUCUUGCAAUGCAGAUGUGUGCAGAUGCUGCAGAUACUUGGACUUCUCUUAAAGGAAUAUUUAAUAUCAUAUUCAAUAUUAUCAGUAUUUCCAAUAUAGGGAGGCAGAACAGGAAGCUUCAUUCUGCGAUACUGUUUUUUGUUGCAAACAGUGCUUCAAAGCAAAUCCAUGUGUUUGAAAAACAAAUCUAAGGGUUUGCUUUCCUUUGCCUGCACUUUAGAAAUACCAAUAUUUACCUUCCUUUUUUCUACCCUAUCUUUAAUUUGCUGUAGCUGCUCGAAGCCAGGCAGUGCUGCUCUGCAAGAGAGUGACAGACCUGGGCCAUAUGAGAAGACUUAAAUUCAAAAUUAAUUUUACUUCAACCACUUCUUUCUUCCUGUAUAAGCAACCUACUCUAGAUUUGCUACUUUUAAUAAGGGAUGAGCACUGGGAUUUGUUCAUUUAGCUCUUCCUCAAAUUAGUUGCAAGUCAUGAAACAAUGGGACUUAUUUCUAGGUUGGUACUUGGUUUUUUGUUUUUUUUUUUGCAAUGAAUUUGCCAGCACAGCAUUAUCUUUGGAGGAGAGCUUUGGGAAACGUUGUUGUAACUUGUUUUAUGCUUUUCCACUUUUACCUUUUAUUGCUUUUAGUCAGAGUUAGAGGAGAAAAAUCCCUUCAGGAAAAAGGGUGAUAAAAAGAAGAGUUACUGCAGAAUUUUGCUGAUUUCUGGUGUGCUUGUGGAAAAGGGAAAGGGAUCCUUGAACCUCUGUCUCAAGGAGAACAGGGUGAGACUGAAAUAAAGGUAAAGGUGUUUGAAUGGACAGUUUUGACUCAAGAAUGCAACACUGAGUAAUGAAAUGAAAAAGCUUUGAGGGCUGCUGGUUCUCAGUGUCAGGGAGGGUCUGGAACACCCUUCUGGAGCGAGUAACGGAUGCAGAAAAUCCACUCACACAAAAUUAAACUUCCUUUUCAGGGAGAUGCAGUAAUUGUAUCAAAACUGGGAGGUUUUUUUUUACUUGCAGGAAGGAAACUCCUGGGUUAUUACACUCAAAAAUGGGCACCGUGUUCUGUGACUUAGUAAUUCUUUCAUUAUAGACAUUUUAAAUUGAUUUUAACUGCUUUGAUCAGUUCUAAACACUGGAAGCUGCACAGGGAUGCUAAGGAGCUUUUUUCCUUCCAAAAGCCUUUCCUCCCUAAGCCUUUGGAAGUUGUGGGAGUUGGCUCCUGGUCUUCUGACAAAGCCUCCCUGAGCAGCCCCAUCUUGUUAAUAGUGGGAUUGGUGGGAGUUUGUCAUGAUUAAACUGCAGAUAAUCAUCAUUACAGCCCUUGUGGCAGCCUGGUGAUGAGACUUCAUGAUUAUUGCUCUCCUUAAUGAGCAGGUCUGCCUUAGCUCAGUGCAGAAGCAAAGAGGGAAAACAUGCAGUUAAAAAAAGGAGAACUGUCCCGUUGGGAAACGUGCCCGGAGUCUCCCAAGUUGGAUUCCCACAGGAGCCAACUCCUGCCUCUGCUGCUGAGAUCUGGAGCUGUGGCUGAGUUAAUUGGGAGCCCGUGGUGCCACAAACCCUCUUUGAUCUUUUCCUCUUCCCUGCCAUCCAUCUUUCCCCUGACCUUGGACCACUCUGGUUUUGGGGUGGCUUUCAAUGCCUCUUGUUUUUGGGGCUGGAUUUGGAUUCCCCUCUGGUUUUGGGGUGGGUUUGAAGGCCUCUCGUUUUUGGGGCUGGAUUUGGAGUCCCCUCUGGUUUUGGGGUGGUUUUCUUCUACUUUCCAUCUUCAGCCAGCCAGAGCCCCCAGCUCCCAUCCAGCAGUGAAGCUGGUGUCCAGCAGGCAGCAAUGAAUCUGACUGGUCAUUCCAAAGGGAACUGUGUUUGGAAUUAAAAUGUUGUACCUCUUGAAAUGAACCUGUAUCUUCCUGUCCUCUUGCAGUGUCCCUCCCCAUGCUCUGGCAGGGGAGCCUUUCUCUGCAGACAGGUGAAUUUAACUCUUCAGUGUCCUCUGCAAGUGCCAGCUGUGCAUAAACAAGCUGGAAUUUUCUUUGGAGACAGAGCAUUUCCCCCUUGCAGCCAUUUCAGCCCCUCUGCAUGUUGAUAUUGAUUGCAGAGCAAAUCCCUGUCCAUGUCUGUGCUCAUGAAAGAGUUGCUCAGUUCUUGUGUCUGCACUACCAUAGAAAUUUGGGAGCAGGGAGUGCAGGAAGGCGUUUGGUGCUUCCUGCCCUGGGUAAGGGCUCAGCCCAGUGGAUGGGGCUGCUCUGCCCGAGCUCUGCUCCAGCCAGCCAAAGUCUUCUGCUCCACAGUGGGCUGAGUAAACUCCACACCAAUUCACAAUAUUUAAUUAUUUCUCCAAGGAUUUGAGCCUUCUUUUAAUUUUCUUCCUGAAAGGCAUUGCCUAAAUUGCCUCUGUGCCCAGCUUUCCUUCCUGGUGGAAAACUACUGCACCUUGUGCUGACCAAACAUCCUGGCUCGAUGGUGGGGAGCAAUGUGCUCCAGGGUUUUUGGGGAUGUGCGGGGAGCUGGAGCUCCCAUCCCAAACCCACCUUUCCCAAGGUUUGUGCUCUGGUGAGGAUGACCAGAGGAUCAGACUGUGUCUGUUCUUUGGGCAUUUAAAGCUCCCCCCCAAUGAUGUGCCAGGAAGAAAAAGAUUCCUUUGAAGCGCUGGAAAGUUUUACUUGGAGUUACCAAAUUGAAACAAAAAAGUUUUGCUGGGCUUGUGCGACCUGGGAUAGUGGCAGGGGAUGGAUCCGGGAUGGGGUUUAAGGUCCCUGCCAACCCAAACCUUCCAUUAUUCCAUGAAAAAAACAGUGGGAAUCUGGCAAAAAUCCCCAUGUGCUACAGCCUAUCACCAAGGCUGGAGAGGCUCCACCUCUAUACCUUGCCCUGAGUUUUUGGGAUGGGUAUUUGGGGAGCCGUGGGGUUCAUGUAUCCUAAUUCCAUCUCCCUCCCCUAAUUCCUGGCUGGAGGAGCUCUGGCACUGCCGAGCAGGGAGCUGCAGGGACGGGGGUGCCUCACCCAUGCACAGCCUGGUUCAGCUUGAGUCCCCAACGAAAUUCUGCAGCAGAGACCCAGCAAACACCCUGCCUUUUAUUCAGGAGGAGCUUUUUACCCUGGAUUAGCUGAGAUCAGAAGCUCCAGGCAUGCGAGAGAGAACAGGCUGCACGGCUGGCUCAGCUCUCCUCUCGUGCCUGUGGGGUGACAUCUUGAUGACAGUGGGGUUUAAUUGCUCUCUGCUUUGCUGAUACAGGCUAUUGUCCAUUUAGGGCCUGGCUUUCUGCUGUGCAGGGCAGGACAAAGCAUUUCCAUUAGGCUACAGUUUGGUUUUUAACUUAAUCGUGUGUCUUCCUCUCUAAACUUUACACAAAGGUUGAGUUUUUCUGCAUUUCAAGUGGGACGAGAGCUGGGAUGCUCAGUGUGUAGUGAUGUCAAAGCCUGCUCGUGAAGCUUUCUGGUAAAAUCGGUAAUUUUAUUAGAAUGGUAAAAUUCUGUAACUAUGAGGAGCGGGGAGUGGUGAAAUUCUGUAACUUUGGAGCUGGGAAUGGUGAAAUUCUGUAACUUUGGAGCUGGGAAUGGUGAAUGAAAUUCUGUAAGUUUAAGGAGCUGGGAAUGGUAAAAUUCUUUAACGUAAUCAUAAAUUUCAGCAAAUCAAAUUGAGGAUUUUUUUGAGCUGACACUUUAAACUCCUUUAUUUUCUAUGUUAUAGAAACACACUUGAUUUUUAACCCUGUAAAAUUCAACUACUGAGGAAGCAGCAUUUGUGCUGUAACAGCCCACUUUAAAUGGUGCAAUUAUAACCAAAGGAGCCAGUGUGCCUUUUGCAGUUCAGCAAUUAAAAACUUUCAAACAUACAGCGUAACAUUUUGGCUGACAUAAAAGCUUUUGAGCAUUUUAUUGCUGCUUGUACUUCUGGGCAGGAUUUGUAGAUGCUUUAAUAUUAUGGUGAUAAUGUGUCCAUUAAUGCGUAUUAGGCAAAUGAUAAAUAAUAAAUACAAACUGCAGUUUAGAGUAAUUGAGAAUCCAGCCCUUAAACCUUCAUCAAAAGCACCUUUUUAAUAAUUUUUUGUGUUAAAAACUCGAGUGUUCACUUCUGGCCAAAAUAAAUUCUUAUAAGUGUUGGGGAGAGGAAAAUGGGGGGGAUGGAUUGUGAGAGCACCAGGAUGAUAAAUGGGAUUACCUUGGAGAGGAGGAGUGAGCGGAGGUGUCUGUGGGGUAAUUUGGGGAUUGCUGCCUGAGGAGCUCCUGUCACACCCUGCUCUGCUCCCUGGGAUUUGCAGGAUCCCAUCAGCAUCCCUGGAAGGACGUGGGUGAAUCCUGAAUCCUCCAGCAGCAUGGCUCACCUGGGCAGCUGGCACCUCUCUUGAGUGGAAAGCCUCAAACAGUGGUGGAUUUACAUGGAAUUUCCAAGGCUCUUUCCAUGAGAAUGUUGGAUUUGAAUAGCAAAACUGUAAUUUUCGAGUCGUGGCAGACUGCAUCCCAUCUGUGCUCAACUUCAAACGGGAUCCUUGAGAGGCCCCAAAUUGCAGAUGGAAAUUGUGUUACAGGGAGACUGUGUUUUAAUUCCGUAAGUAAUUGAUGGGAGAUGAAAAAAGGAAUAUUCAGGAGACUUUUCUGGCUGCUGAGUUUCUGGGAGGAGGUAAAUACAAGCCUUGGAAUAGUGGAAUGUCCUGGGAGCAGCCUCGGUGGCUCUCUCGUGGGCCAGCUUGGGCUAAUUGGCUGCCAGCAAACCUCACCCAGCCUCCCUUGGAGCUCUGGGCCCAUUCCAGGGUGUUGCUCUCCCCUGGGAUUUGUGGUGCUUGCUGCUAAUGAACUCAGGAGGUGUCUCCGGGGAUGGGCUGGAUCUGCUCUGCCUUUGGACUCUGCUUUGCUUUGCAAGCUCUCCAGGGGGGUGUUUAAACCAAAAUAUCAAUGGAAAGUGAAAUCUGGGGAGCUCUGCAGGAGCUUUUCCAGCUAUCCAGGUGUACUUAAACUGAGGAUCCUCCUGGAUUUAGGAGUUUUUAUCCCCCCCUUGGCCCAGUUGUGCUGGGAAGGCAGAGGAAGCAGGGGAGGGAGCCUUGCCUAUAUUUGGACCUUGCUGUGUGGGCUAAGGAAACAUAAACCAGUUGUAACCAAAGAAUUAAAGAGGAACUUGGAGUUUGGAGCAUUGCAGAGUCUGAAAUUUGUGCUUUUUAAGCAAUUUCUUGUUGUUCCCAUUUUUGUAACUGCUUCCUGAGGUGCAGCAGCUUUACCUGGGCACUGGUUUUAGCUGGAAUUGCACAUGAUGGUUGGAAACAUCCCAUUAAUGCCAGCCUUGGUUAGCAGGAUUUUAUAGUUUCUCUGUAUAUUUCUUGGAAUUCUUGCUACUAAUUUUAACUGUUUGUAAGAAGCUUUAAAUUCUGAAAAUAAUCCCCUUGUUCCAACACAAAUAAGGGUAAAUUUUCAGUUGCAUCUGGGCAUUGGUGACUCUGAACAUCCAACAAAACAGACAAACACCUCAAUACUAAGUUUAGGCAAAUAUUUUCCAUAGAACACAGCCUGCAGUAUAAAUUCCAGUAAAUAUAUGACAGAACUUCCCAAAAUGAUGUCUUCUUUAAUUAUCUCUAUUUCCCUGAAGAAACAGAGAGGCUUCCAGCUGGCUCCUUGACCUGAGUGUUUCCAGUGUCCUCUCUGAUCCCGGGGAGGAACAUCCCAUCCAGCUUUUCCUCUAAAGGUGUUGAAAACAUUUUGCCACCUUCAAUCAGCCCUGAUAAAAUAAUUUGUUUUCCUUUCAAUUCUUCCAUAUUUUAUGGACACUUCCUUGUUCUUCCUACUUUUUCCUCAGCUUCCAUGUGCCAGACCUGGAAUAUUUAAGUGCAAGGAGCUGUUUGUGUGUGGCCACCACCUCUGUGAGCUUUCAGAGGCUCUCUUUGGGGUUUCUUGCUCUCCUCUAGCCUGGGGAAACUGAAGGAUGAGCAUAAUACUUUAAUAAUAAAAGCCAAAGAUCCUGUGGGAGCUUUGGGGAUGAGUUUUGGGGUUUUUCUGGUUUAAUCUCACGACUUUUGAAAUAAUCUUACAGUAUGUGGAGGACUGACAAAAACCACUUGGGUCUGUGGGGUUUUAUUCAUGUUGGCAUCCCAGGGCAGAGCUUGAAGGGAUUUAUUUCUCCAUCAUUCCCAGGGAAUGCAGCAGGAGCUGUGGAAAGCAGGGAACUGGGCAUGGAGAUGUGGAAGUUCUCUUUCCACAUAGCAAAUAAAUGAAA